ACUUGAGCAAUAGAGCACAUGCCGUGUUUAUUUCCAGACAGAUGUUAUGAUGAGUCCUGUGCAAGGCCAUAAUCUCAAGCCCUGUAUCGUUCAGUCUCUUUGCAACGGUCGAGGGUCUAAAAAUAACGAUGGGAGUCUAUUGAUAAACGUAUUUUCAUACUUAUACUAAAAGUUCUACUCGUAUAAUCUGCCAGUAUUUUUUUUUUUAUCGUGAUAAAACUUCUGUACUCGACUCGCGCAAUGCGGAUGGGAUUUAUGUGUGCAAAUUAGGUCUGAUUGCGUAGGCCUGUAGUGUAGACCAAUCCGUGAGCAGUAUUCUGUAAAUAAUAAAGUGUCCUGUCUGUUGUCAUUGACCAGUGCUGGUGCAGUGCUGUAUGCAUAACAGAUCUGUUUCAAAAGAAGGAUAACAGUAUUUUACAGCCAUCAGGGUGGAAACUUAUAAAAACUAUUUUUUAAAAAUGGCUUAGAUUAGAUGGUGAAUGUCACAACAUUGUCAAGUUUAAUAUACAGUUCUGGUCCGUGGACUUCACUGACAUUCCCGCAUCCUACACGAGUGAUAUCCAUGUAGGUCGGUUUACUGAGGAGAGACAGUUAGAAUUAAGCAAAAAAAGUGUGCCAGGCGAGCACAGAGUUUACUUGAGGAUGAAAAAAAACAUGCAUCAACAUCACGAUCUCCAAGAAAAAACUGCGGUGCAGAGGUCUACCCUUCGGAGUCGGCCCCUAUCUCCAGCGCUUCCAGCAGGAAGUUAGUGCAGGCUGCUGAACUGAAAAACAAUGAGAGCAUCUUGGUGUAUCUCAAGGAGAAGGACUGUGUUGCCAUGCAAUAUGCUACAAGAAGUAUGUGUGAAUCCCCUCACAAGGGCCCAAGGCAUCCCCAGUCCUCAGAAAGAUACCUACCCCAAGGCACAUAAGGUAUUGUAUGAGGACAUAAGAAGGAAGAGACUGAUCAUGAGGUAUUCCGGCUUACAAAACUCAUUCACUUUUUUAAGCUGUUUGUGAAGAAACACGAAGGAGUGGAACUUUUAAAUUACAAGAGUUUUUUAUUGAAGCAUUGGCUGCAGAGAGAUUUUCCACGGCUAAGUUUUCAUCUACCACCACAAAAAAACAUAAGCCAGCUUGUAUUUCCUGAGACAUUAUCAACAGGGACAGUAGUCAGCAGAUUUAGAGUAUUCUACUUAAUUGACUGAGGAAGUAACAACUGAGAUCAUUGAAGAAGAUGCACCUGCCUCUGCAUCGAAAAACUGAAGCAACAUCACCUGUUGGUCAGGGUUGGAAAAUGGACAACAAUGACCUGUGGGUGGUUUGGCUGACAGUGGACCCGCCCAGAGAGUGUUAUCCUGGUCAUCAGUUGCAGAUGAGACAGGAAGGUGUUUGUGUCAGUCUUGUGGCUUGUCUUGUACAGAUGUCUGUAAAUCAGUCUGAUGAUAAUUUCCUUUCAGGUUCAGUGUAAAUAUGUAUAUGUUCAUUUUGUUUAUCAUCCUGUUUUGUUUGGUUUUUUUUUAUGUUUUGUUGCUUUGCACUAAGUGUUAAAAAUAAAAGUUUACAUUUUUGUGCACCGACAUGAGC